AUUGAACGCUGGCGGCAUGCUUUACACAUGCAAGUCGAACGGUAACAGGCCGCAAGGUGCUGACGAGUGGCGAACGGGUGAGUAAUGCAUCGGAACGUGCCCAGUCGUGGGGGAUAACGCGGCGAAAGCUGCGCUAAUACCGCAUACGAUCUAUGGAUGAAAGCGGGGGACCGUAAGGCCUCGCGCGAUUGGAGCGGCCGAUGUCAGAUUAGGUAGUUGGUGGGGUAAAGGCUCACCAAGCCAACGAUCUGUAGCUGGUCUGAGGGGACGACCGGCCACACUGGGACUGAGACACGGCCCAGACUCCUACGGGAGGCAGCAGUGGGGAAGUUUGGACAAUGGGCGCAAGCCUGAUCCAGCAAUGCCGCGUGCGGGAAGAAGGCCUUCGGGUUGUAAACUGCUUUUGUACGGAACGAAACGGUCCUGGUUAAUACCCGGGGCUAAUGACGGUACCGUAAGAAUAAGCACCGGCUAACUACGUGCCAGCCGCCGCCGUAAGAC
rnacentral:rRNA from 1 species